CUUGGCCUAACCCCUUCCCUCCAGCCAGAGGUGUAACUUGACCAGCAUGCACUUUCUAUAAUACCGGUGUCUUCUUAUGCGGCACAAGGGUCUUUGGGUUCCCUCAGGCUCUUGGGCCUUGUAGCGACUGCUACCUCUGCACCCCCUGCUCUGGAGACAAAAAAUGGGUUAAAGAGGCGCCCCAAG